rnacentral:lncRNA from 1 species
GCUGAUGCAACCCGCCACUGGAACUGCUGCCGAUUUCUGAUCCUCCUCCCCCUCCGCAGGAGACGGUGCAUCUCCGUCUGCUGCAGGUCCGGCAGCCGGCGAAUCCGCAUCCGGUGCGUCUGCUUCCGGUGCGUCUGCCGCUGGCUCAGGGGCGCUCGCCUCGGGGGCCUCCGCCGGACUGUCAGCCGUCGAAUCGUCCACGGGCGCCGGUGCAGGCACCGGCACCUCCGGUGGCGCUGUUAUUGGAGCGCCGAAAGGCGCCAGCGGCGUGCCGUUGAUGCCCUGCGGGACGAUGACGGCGCUGAUUUGGAGAACCGAGAGGUUGUACGGCUUGGCGGCGACGGACUUGACGUAGGUGGCCACUAGCGGCGACCCGGGUACCCCCGACCCGAAGGCAAGCCGCCCGUCCGACAGCUUGGUGGCGUUGAGGAACCCCAUGCGGUUGGCGGCGACGCCGGUGGUCUGGAAUAGGGUGGUGAACAGGGUGGACCGGCGCUUGAGGUUGUGGAUCUUCUCUUUGUCGUAGUAGUCGAGGAUGACGUGGAUGGAGAGGACCUGCUUGAGCGUGUCGGAGUCGAGGCUGGAGAGGGAGGAGGCCGCGGAGUUGUCGACCGCGAGGACGGUGAUGGUCUGGCGGCGGUUGACCUCAGAGGCGAUGUCGGCCUGGCUGAGGAGAGAGUUGAAGUUGGAGAAGUCGGGGAAUUGGGAGAGGAGGCGGGUGAUGUUGUGGGCGGUGGCGGAGGAGAGCAGGACGAGGAAGGAGACGAAGACGAGGAGGAGGGAGAGUUGGGGGCUCGAAGCCAUUGUGGGAGGAGGAGGAGGAGGAGGA